GAGGGGAUCAAAGCAGGGCGGCGGGUUGGGACUCAGAUCGGUUUGGGUUUUUGAGUGAGCUUUGGGGAUGGGGAGGCUCUAGAAAUGACCCCAUAGGCCCCAUCGAGGGAAAGCCUCACUUUGGCUCGCAGUGCUGAGGCGGGCAGGGCAGAGCAGUCCCAGGGUGUGUCGUCACAUGUCUCUCGUGCCUUCCGUGUCUUCCGCGCAUCUCGUGUAACGUGUCUCUUGCCUUAGCUCUCCCAGGGGCUUUUGAGAAACCCCGGGGUCCUUCCGGUCAUCUCCCAUCUUUGCGUUCCUCGGCCCGGGGCCGACACCGGCGAAGUUUCGAUUCGGGAGCUCGGACAGGUGUCGGAAUCGCAUCUCUCUUCAGAAGCAUCCGAUCGGAUGUCUUCUUAGGUCUUGUUCUCAGCUGUGUUGACAGCUGUGUGCAGUCAUCUUUCUUUACAGUGGAUAAGGACUUGUGCCGAUUCAAAGGCAGGCAGAGGCUUUCAGCCACAGGAUUCUCAGGCAUCCGUCUCCGCGGUUCUCGGAAUAAGUCGUUCCGUUAGCAUCUUUUUCCUCCGGGGUCAUCCGAGCCCGGCGGGCUCGCCUUCGGUCCCCCCUCGGUCAUCUCGUUCAGCAUUCUCUCGGUCCUCGUGAGGACUUUCUCGUCCCAGAGAGUUUUCUCUCCCCGUCGUGUCCCCUCGUCUCACGUGUCACGGGUGUCUGGGGGUAUUCGGUCCGGAACUGCUCUGCCCUGCCGCCCGGCCCCGUUGCAGGUGUUCAAGGACAAGUCCCGGGCACUUGUAAUUGGAGACUCGUAAUACGGGCUGUAGUUGGAGUCUAGGUAGUAUUCUUAUGUUGGCAGAAGGUGUCUGGAGCUGUGAAGUUACCCUGCAGCACUUUGACUUUUUUCCUAACUUUCUUUCAGAUGCGGAUGGAUCGACCUCCCGGCAGAGCGCCCCGUCCCAGAUGAGGCGAUCCCCCUGAGAAGGAAGUAAAGCUGGAUAGCAGCAGUGAAGGCGAAGCAUUGUGAAGGUGGUCUACUUGCAAGAUAUCCCAGCCCAGGAUGCCAGAGGACAGGUUCCGUGCAGAGAGGCAGAGCCGAAGUUUGCGAUCGGCCGCACCGAUCGGCCCCCGGCGCGGGGGACGUCUCGACGUACGCAUCCUAUCGAGGAUGGGUCUUGUCCUAUUACGUUACAAAAGGUCUCUGAUGCCUAUUUUCUGAGGAUCUACCAUUUGAUGUUGAGAAGCAGCAGCGAGAAGAUGUCUCGGGGCAUUUUGUUCAGCACAGUGUUUCAAAUAAGGGUUGCGGUCACUGUGUGAGUUAGAGUCUCCUGCUGUGUGUCAGAGCGUGUCUGUCUGUGAGAGUCGGUGGGUCUGGGUGUGCUUGUGAGUGUGCGUGUCGAGCGGUUCUAACCUUGUGUGUAUUGC